AACGAACGCUGGCGGCAUGCUUAUCACAUGCAAGUCGAACGGGCGCCUUCGGGCGUUAGUGGCGCACGGGUGAGUAACGCGUGGGAACCUGUCAUGAAGUGGGGAACAACCACUGGAAACGGUGGCUAAUACCGCAUACGCCCUGAGGGGCAAAGGCUUCGGCCGCUUUGUGAGGGGCCCGCGUCCGAUUAGCUAGUUGGUGGGUAACGCCUACCAAGGCUACGAUCGGUAGCUGGUCUGAGAGGAUGAUCAGCCACACUGGGACUGAGACACGGCCCAGACUCCUACGGGAGGCAGCAGUGGGGAAUAUUGGACAAUGGGCGAAAGCCUGAUCCAGCAAUGCCGCGUGAGUGAAGAAGGGCCUUAGGGUUGUAAAGCUCUUUCGCCUGCGACGAUGAUGACGGUAGCAGGAGAAGAAAGCCCCGGCUAAAUUCCGUGCCAGCAGCCGCGGUAAU
rnacentral:rRNA from 1 species